AGUGAACGCUGGCGGUAGGCCUAACACACGCAAGUCGAACGGCAGCACAGUAAGAGCUUGCUCUUACGGGUGGCGAGUGGCGGACGGGUGAGGAAUACAUCGGAAUCUACUUUUUCGUGGGGGAUAACGUAGGGAAACUUACGCUAAUACCGCAUACGACCUACGGGUGAAAGCAGGGGAUCUUCGGACCUUGCGCGAUUGAAUGAGCCGAUGUCGGAUUAGCUAGUUGGCGGGGUAAAGGCCCACCUAGGCGACGAUCCGUAGCUGGUCUGAGAGGAUGAUCAGCCACACUGGAACUGAGACACGGUCCAGACUCCUACGGGAGGCAGCAGUGGGGAAUAUUGGACAAUGGGCGCAAGCCUGAUCCAGCCAUACCGCGUGGGUGAAGAAGGCCUUCGGGUUGUAAAGCCCUUUUGUUGGGAAAGAAAAGCAGCAGGUUAAUACCCCGCUGUUCUGACGGUACCCAAAGAAUAAGCACCGGCUAACUUCGUG
rnacentral:rRNA from 1 species